GGUUGGCAGAAAAAGGGCUGGUGACGGCGAUCCCGGCUCGGGGGUGCUCGGGCCGUCGCGUUCAUUUCCAUAAGAAAGCUGAAAUCGCGGUCGGAGGCAGGAUUUCUCCCCGCUAGUGCCCUUCCCCCACAGCCGGUUUUCUGCUGGAAGCCGGCUCCGGAGCUCAGAACCUUAAGUGUGCGCUGUGGGCUUUGAUGGGGUUGAUAAAAUGUGGUUUCAAAUGUUGCCCCGAACGAGGCCGGUUUCCUGUCUGUGUGUGGAGUGGAAGGAUCGCGCAGGGUGAACUCCAGGCAGGCAGGCUCUCUGGAGGAUGCUCUGACCCACCAGAAAGUGGAAAUAUAACCGUUCCUAUGCACACCAACUCACAUUGUGCACUGACUGUUCCGGCCAACUAAAUGGGCUUACCUUCUGCUGAGAGGCAGUCCUGGGGGCAGAACUACAGUGUGAUCUCUCAGGAAGCUCUUCAUCAAAAUAUCUCUUGUCCUUUUUUAAAAAAUAAAAUUUAUUUUAAAAAGUU